GCCUGCCUGGCUCAGUCAGUGGAGCAUGUGACUCUUGAUCUCGGGUUGUGGGUUUGAACCCCACAUUGGGUG
rnacentral:tRNA from 1 species